rnacentral:rRNA from 1 species
GACGAACGCUGGCGGCGUGCUUAACACAUGCAAGUCGAACGGAAAGGCCCUGCUUUUGUGGGGUGCUCGAGUGGCGAACGGGUGAGUAACACGUGAGUAACCUGCCCUUGACUUUGGGAUAACUUCAGGAAACUGGGGCUAAUACCGGAUAGGAGCUCCUGCUGCAUGGUGGGGGUUGGAAAGUUUCGGCGGUUGGGGAUGGACUCGCGGCUUAUCAGCUUGUUGGUGGGGUAGUGGCUUACCAAGGCUUUGACGGGUAGCCGGCCUGAGAGGGUGACCGGCCACAUUGGGACUGAGAUACGGCCCAGACUCCUACGGGAGGCAGCAGUGGGGAAUAUUGCACAAUGGGCGGAAGCCUGAUGCAGCAACGCCGCGUGCGGGAUGACGGCCUUCGGGUUGUAAACCGCUUUCGCCUGUGACGAAGCGUGAGUGACGGUAAUGGGUAAAGAAGCACCGGCUAACUACGUGCCAGCAGCCGCGGUGAUACGUAGGGUGCGAGCGUUGUCCGGAUUUAUUGGGCGUAAAGGGCUCGUAGGUGGUUGAUCGCGUCGGAAGUGUAAUCUUGGGGCUUAACCCUGAGCGUGCUUUCGAUACGGGUUGACUUGAGGAAGGUAGGGGAGAAUGGAAUUCCUGGUGGAGCGGUGGAAUGCGCAGAUAUCAGGAGGAACACCAGUGGCGAAGGCGGUUCUCUGGGCCUUUCCUGACGCUGAGGAGCGAAAGCGUGGGGAGCGAACGGGCUUAGAUACCCUGGUAGUCCACGCUGUAAACGGUGGGUACUAGGUGUGGGGUCCAUUCCACGGGUUCCGUGCCGUAGCUAACGCUUUAAGUACCCCGCCUGGGGAGUACGGCCGCAAGGCUAAAACUCAAGGGAAUUGACGGGGCCCCGCACAAGCGGCGGAGCAUGCGGAUUAAUUCGAUGCAACGCGUAGAACCUUACCUGGGUUUGACAUGGAUCGGGAGCGCUCAGAGAUGGGUGUGCCUCUUUUGGGGUCGGUUCACAGGUGGUGCAUGGCUGUCGUCAGCUCGUGUCGUGAGAUGUUGGGUUAAGUCCCGCAACGAGCGCAACCCUUGUUCACUGUUGCCAGCACGUUAUGGUGGGGACUCAGUGGAGACCGCCGGGGUCAACUCGGAGGAAGGUGGGGAUGACGUCAAGUCAUCAUGCCCCUUAUGUCCAGGGCUUCACGCAUGCUACAAUGGCUGGUACAGAGAGUGGCGAGCCUGUGAGGGUGAGCGAAUCUCGGAAAGCCGGUCUCAGUUCGGAUUGGGGUCUGCAACUCGACCUCAUGAAGUCGGAGUCGCUAGUAAUCGCAGAUCAGCAACGCUGCGGGUGAAUCCUUUCCCGGGGCU